rnacentral:rRNA from 1 species
UCGAGAAUCUUUCGCAAUGGGCGAAAGCCUGACGAAGCGACGCCGUGUGAACGAAGAAGGCCUUCGGGUUGUAAAGUUCUUUUGCCUGGGAGCAAUAGAAGUCUAUGAAUAAUAGGCUAAUUUGAGAGUACCAGGAGAAUAAGCACUGGCUAACUCCGUGCCAGCAGCUGCGGUAAUACGGAGGGUGCAAGCAUUAAUCGGACUUACUGGGCGUAAAGGGUGCGUAGGCGUCUUGAUAAGUCGUGCGUGAAAUACUGGGGCUUAACCUCAGCAGUGCGCUCGAUACUAUUAAGAUGGAGGGAAAACGGGGAAAAUGGAAUUCUGCAAGUAGCGGUGAGAUGCGUAGAUAUGCAGAGGAACACCGGUGGUGAAGACGGUUUUCUAGUUUUUUCCUGACGCUGAGGCACGAAAGCAAGGGGAGCAAACAGG